CGGGGCUUAAUGUCUUGUAAUUGGAAUGAUGGGAAUUUAAACCUCUUCCAGAGUAUCAAUUGGAGGGCAAGUCUGGUGCCAGCAGCCGCGGUAAUUCCAGCUCCAAUAGCGUAUAUUAAAAUUGUUGCAGUUAAAAAGCUCGUAGUUGAAUUUCUGCUACAUUGCCUAUUCUCCUUUACGAGUUUGGGUCUUUUGUGGCUUAUCUGGGUUCGCUUGCGUUCCCGGUGUUUUACUUUGAGAAAAUUAGAGUGCUCAAAGCAGGCUUUUGCCUUGAAUAGUUUAGCAUGGAAUAAUAAAGUAGGACUUUGGUUCUAUUUUGUUGGUUUUAGGUACCAAAGUAAUGGUUAAUAGGAACAGUUGGGGGCAUUCGUAUUUAACUGUCAGAGGUGAAAUUCU
rnacentral:rRNA from 1 species